AUUGAACGCUGGCGGCAGGCCUAACACAUGCAAGUCGAACGGUAACAGGAAGCAGCUUGCUGCUUUGCUGACGAGUGGCGGACGGGUGAGUAAUGUCUGGGAAACUGCCUGAUGGAGGGGGAUAACUACUGGAAACGGUAGCUAAUACCGCAUAACGUCGCAAGACCAAAGAGGGGGACCUUAGGGUCUCUUGCCAUCGGAUGUGCCCAGAUGGGAUUAGCUAGUAGGUGGGGUAACGGCUCACCUAGGCGACGAUCCCUAGCUGGUCUGAGAGGAUGACCAGCCACACUGGAACUGAGACACGGUCCAGACUCCUACGGGAGGCAGCAGUGGGGAAUAUUGCACAAUGGGCGCAAGCCUGAUGCAGCCAUGCCGCGUGUAUGAAGAAGGCCUUCGGGUUGUAAAGUACUUUCAGCGGGGAGGAAGGGAGUAAAGUUAAUACCUUUGCUCAUUGACGUUACCCGCAGAAGAAGCACCGGCUAACUCCGUG
rnacentral:rRNA from 1 species